AAAUAUGAGGACCCUCUGCUGGCCUGACAUACUAGAUAGGCAAGGAGGUUGGGACAACCUCCCUAACCUUUUCAUCUAUACAUUCUUGCCUUGGUUCUAUGUAGAACCUCUGAAAAGGACGUAGGGCCAAUGCCGGAUUCCAAGCUAAUACCAGAUUAAUUGUCCUCCUUCACUUAUUGACCCCAUUCAGGGCUGAGCUCAUGCCCUGCCUCUUCUGAGGGUCCUCCACUGAGAACUCCCAGAGCCCUCCCCAUCUCACCACACAGGGCCUUGAUACCAGCUACUCAGUUUCCUUCCCCCAAAGCAAUCAAUGUUCGCAAUGCUUUGUUUAUCCUUCCAGAAAUAGUCUAUGGCCUAUACUAGCAGGGGCACUUCCUCUAGCAAGACCGGAAUUAACUUGACUCCACCCAAGUAGAACCUGCCCACUCCCCAGCUCACAGCACAGUAUUCAAGAAAGAUCAGCUGAUGAACCCACAGGUGCUCAAAAUGCUCUCCAAUGCUCAGUGAAGAGUUCACCAUGUGCAAAAUUCACCAUGUGCACCAUCCUAUUGAUGAUCCAGAGAAAUGCUUUGUCAGAUGUUGGAACUGGCCAAAAGCCCCCACCGUGACAAUCUUCGUGGGCUGCCAAGGGGCGGGACAAUGUAAAAAGAGGAACAACUGGUCUUGAUUCUCAACCGAAUGCUUCUGAGGCUGGAAUUCAGAGAAUUUGCUCAAAAUCAACUUGCUUGAAAUCAACUCCCAAACAUCACACGUUCUACUGGAAUACACCCCUACCAUACCACCAUUAAUAAUGAUGAAACUAAGCUAAACCAUCUGGUCAAUAAAAAAAAUACAAUGCACA
ensembl:lncRNA